rnacentral:rRNA from 1 species
UGACACAGUAGGAUAAGCUACGCACACGGUUUGUCAUGUGUGCCCAUCCAUUGAGGCAGUCAAAAUAGGCAACUCCGCUUUAAAAAUGCUGGGACGUGAUGGGGUGCUACAUUUAGUAGCGAAGUCGCUGAUUUCACCCUUCCAUGAAAAGUCUCUUUCGAGGUUAAAGGUAACCGUACCGCAAACCGACCCAGCUUGGUGAGGAGAGUUUCCUACGCCCAGCGCGAGA